AAAGAAGGGGUUGAUUUAAAUGACAACAUGUAAUAAUGGAAAUAAGGAAGUGAAGGGAAAAAAAAAGAUGCAGACAUGAUAAAAGGACAAGGGAGCCAACCUAAAAGAGCCCCAUGAGCCAAAGCUGGAACAAUUUUUUUUUAAUGACGGUAUUGGAUUGCAAACCAAAUAAUAAAAAAAUGCCCAUGGAUUCAUCCUGAUGUAAAUGAAUGUACGAAUAAAUGAAUGAAAGAGAGACAAGGAACAACUCUUUCUUACAGCAAGAUUGCAGUUAAUAAAUAUACAAAAAACGAGGGAAAUAAAAAAUUGGCAUUAGAAGUAAUUGCUGUAGGCCAAUUCCACUGAUGAUGCUAAAUGUGAAGGAGAGUUUAAGGAGAAACAGAAAACAUUAUGUGCAUGUUCUCAAUGUAGCUCCCCUCAAAUAUUUGAUAAGUACAAAGGGGAAAACAGUACCACCUUAACCAAGCAAUCAAGUUAACACCACCAGCAAUAAAACAUACCAUCAUGUAUAUUCUGAUAUGAUGCCCUAAGGAGGGCACAUCACAUCUGUGGUAUUCUUCCCCAAAAUGCAAGACCUCAAUCUCAUCUUGAAAAAUCAUCAGACGAACCCAAAUUGAGGGACAUUCUGUCAAAUACCUGGCCCAUAUCCUUCAAAAGUAUCGGAUGAUAAAAAAAAAAAAAAGCAAGAAUGAGACACUGUCAAAGACUGGAAGAAACUAAAAACACAUAUUAUUUAAAUUCAAUGAGGGAUCCUGGAUUAGUUGUUAACUAAGAAUUUUAAAAGUUGGAGAUACUAAAACUGGAUUUAAAAACUGAAAAAGAGUGAAAUAAAAAUUAAAAUAGAGCUUAUUACUUCUAUAUAAGGAGAUUCCACAUACCAAUUAUUUAUGAUAAGAUUAAUUAGGAGAUAUAAUUUGUAUUAUGCAUCCACCAUUUCCUUAAGUUUUGUACUUUUCAAACAAUUACGGUUACGAAAUAUCUUUAAUAUUGAAACUCAUUAAAGAAAUAUCACUGUUUUUGAG
rnacentral:lncRNA from 10 species